rnacentral:rRNA from 1 species
UACGAAGGGGGCUAGCGUUGUUCGGAAUCACUGGGCGUAAAGCGCACGUAGGCGGAUUGUUAAGUCGGGGGUGAAAUCCUGAGGCUCAACCUCAGAACUGCCUCCGAUACUGGCAAUCUCGAGUUCGGAAGAGGUUGGUGGAACAGCUAGUGUAGAGGUGAAAUUCGUAGAUAUUAGCUAGAACACCAGUGGCGAAGGCGGCCAACUGGUCCGAUACUGACGCUGAGGCACGAAAGCGUGGGGAGCAAACAGG